rnacentral:rRNA from 1 species
UAAGGAAUAUUGGACAAUGGUCGCAAGACUGAUCCAGCCAUGCCGCGUGCAGGAAGACGGCCCUAUGGGUUGUAAACUGCUUUUGUACCAGAGAAAACCUAUCUACGUGUAGAUAGCUGAUAGUAUGGUAAGAAUAAGCAUCGGCUAACUUCGUGCCAGCAGCCGCGGUAAGACGAAGGAUGCAAGCGUUAUCCGGAUUCAUUGGGUUUAAAGGGUGCGUAGGCGGGCUUGUAAGUCAGUGGUGAAAUCUCUCAGCUUAACUGAGAAACUGCCAUUGAUACUGCAGGCCUAGAGUAUAGAUGACGUUGGCGGAAUAUGACAUGUAGUGGUGAAAUAAUUAGAUAUGUCAUAGAACACCGAUUGCGAAGGCAGCUAACGAAACUAUAACUGACGCUGAGGCACGAAAGUGCGGGGAUCAAACA